CAUACUAUUUGCAAAAGUAGACAACCCAAGGUAUUGCAAACAGGGUAUGUCCAGUAAUUUUUAGUAGCCACUUAGUUACAAACACUGGCCAAAUAUUAGUUUUUUUGCUUUUUUCACACAAAAACAAAUAUGAACACUAAUUUUGGCCAGUGUUUGUGACUAUGUGUGACUAAGUGGCUACUACAAAAGACUGGACAUACCCCACUUGCAAUACCUUGGGUAGUCUACUUUUGCAAAUGGUAUG